UAGCGGUGAAAUGCGUAGAGAUAUGGAGGAACACCAGUGGGAAGGCGAUGGAUGGACCCGCGUCGCAUUAGCUAGUUGGUGAGGUAACGGCUCACCAAGGCAACGAUGCGUAGCCGACCUGAGAGGGUGAUCGGCCACACUGGGACUGAGACACGGCCCAGACUCCUACGGGAGGCAGCAGUAGGGAAUCUUCCGCAAUGGACGAAAGUCUGACGGAGCAACGCCGCGUGAGUGAUGAAGGCUUUCGGGUCGUAAAACUCUGUUGUUAGGGAAGAACAAGUGCUAGUUGAAUAAGCUGGCACCUUGACGGUACCUAACCAGAAAGCCACGGCUAACUACGUGCCAGCAGCCGCGGUAAUACGUAGGUGGCAAGCGUUAUCCGGAAUUAUUGGGCGUAAAGCGCGCGCAGGUGGUUUCUUAAGUCUGAUGUGAAAGCCCACGGCUCAACCGUGGAGGGUCAUUGGAAACUGGGAGACUUGAGUGCAGAAGAGGAAAGUGGAAUUCCAUGUGUAGCGGUGAAAUGCGUAGAGAUAUG
rnacentral:rRNA from 1 species